rnacentral:tRNA from 1 species
GNNUUCUUAUAGUUGAGAUAUCAACGAUGGUUUUUCAGGCCAUAAGCCUUGGGUAGACCCAAGUAAGAACUU